UACGUAGGGGGCAAGCGUUAUCCGGAUUCAUUGGGCGUAAAGCGAGCGCAGGUGGUUUAUUAAGUCUGGUGUAAAAGGCAGUGGCUCAACCAUUGUAUGCAUUGGAAACUGGUAGACUUGAGUGCAGGAGAGGAGAGUGGAAUUCCAUGUGUAGCGGUGAAAUGCGUAGAUAUAUGGAGGAACACCGGUGGCGAAAGCGGCUCUCUGGCCUGUAACUGACACUGAGGCUCGAAAGCGUGGGGAGCAAACAGG
rnacentral:rRNA from 1 species